GGGCGAGUGGCGGAAUUGGCAGACGCGCACGGUUCAGGUCCGUGUGGACUUAGGUCCUUGGGGGUUCAAGUCCCCCCUCGCCCACCC
rnacentral:tRNA from 1 species